CUGAAAGUCUCUGCCUAAUCACUCCGCCUGGAAGGUGGAGGCACAUCAAAAUAACAGAGUGUGAACUAGUUUUGUAAUUAACUGGGCUCAGCUGAGAAGAUUUUUAAAGAAUGGAAAUCAAGCCAUUUAGGACUGCCCCCGGUGCAGUGGUUCCGUGUUCCAGAGCACAGACGCCGUUUGGACUGGGGGCACGGGAGGGGCAUUCUCUCUAAGAUAAGGCGGAGCUUGCCGGACGGGCUGCCACGAUCCCAUUCUCCCGUCAUCCCCUGUAAAAUGACUGUCUUGCCAUGUCCAAUAUGUGCUUGUUUGCAGAGAAGCAUUUUCCUCGCCAGCUCCCGAGUGUCAUGGUGUCCUCCUGGCGUGCGGAGAGGAAGUGUGAGCCCUGAACUGGCAGCUGCUUCAGAACAGGGAGGCAGUCCAGAUAUUCACGUUGUCAAACUGAAAUCCUGGAGCAGAGUUUCUACAACUAAAAGGCCGAGAGCUCACUCCGGAUACGGGCAGGCUGCGGGGGUCCUGCCGGCAGGUGGACACGCGUGUGUGAAGGGAGGCGGCCGGUCGUGCUUCUCACCUUGGCAGCCAGGAAGGAAUUCUAAGUCAUCACUUGUGCAGUGGCCACGGAUGCCCAGGAGGAGGAUCCCAGUGGAAUGGAGGUGGGCUGCGUGCAGCCUCGGGUGGGAGAUAGUGUUACAUGUGUGCAGAAAUCGGCCACCGUCUCCUUUUCGCCCUGCCCAGAAGCUGCCUGUUAAGCACAGGUUUCAGAAGCUGGAGGGAGGGAGCUGACCAUGCCGACGCCCGUCUGGGCCUCCUAGGACCUGGCAGUUCUCCCUGCAACUCUGUCCUGCCCACAGCCCAGGCCCUUCUUAGAUGCUCCUUUGCAUCCCAUUCUGUUUCCUGCCAUGGGAGACGCGUCUCCUACCCAGGGUCAGUUUUCAGAGUGCUCAGCCUUAAAUUCAGGGGGAGAUGCAAAUUAGGGUGAGGCAAGGGGCCCGUUCAAUCUUGUCUCCCGCUGAAGGCUCCAUGCCAGCCCCUCAGCUCAGGCAGCUCCUAUCCCUGACUUCCCGACAGACAGAAUCCAUCCCCCUCUGCUCAUCACCAAGAGCUUAAUUCUCAUGCGGCUGCAAUCAGCUAAACUGACACCUCCCUUGUCCCCAGAGCUGCCACCUCCGCACCCUGCUGGGAAAGCCCGCCUGGGUGUGUGCCAGAUGAGACAAGGGCGUAGCAAAGUGCCCACACAAGCAACCCCCAACAAGACACCCCGACAGUGAAGAGAACACAGGCUGCUCUGCUCACCUGUCCCCUGGAAGGAUGUGUCCACGUCUCCUUUAAAAUGUCCCCAUGUCAUGAGCACGCUCUGCAGCUCUGCGAGUUUAGGCAGCCCAGCCCCCCAUCACCCUGAGGUCAGGCGGGGGCCGGAGUCAUAGCCUGCGUUGGAGGGCUCCCUCUCUCAGGCCACCUCCCAGAUCCAGGGGAAGGCACAGAUAUGAGUCUGCUGUUUUCUUUCUUUCCCUCCCUCCCUUCCUUCCUUCCUUCCUUCCUUCCUUCCCUCCUUCCUUCCUUCCUUCCUUCCUUCCUUCCUUCCUUCUUUCCUUCUUUCCUUCC
ensembl:lincRNA